GGAAGUGUAGGUCAUUGGUAGAGCAUGUGCUUAGCAUGCACAGGGCCCUGGGUUCAAUACCCUGCACAUACA
rnacentral:tRNA from 1 species